AGUGUAGGCGGUUGUCAUAGUCAGGUGUGAAAGCCUUGAGCUCAACUCAAGAAAUGCACUUGAUACUGGGCGACUAGAGGACCGGAGAGGAUAGUGGAAUUCCCAGUGUAGUGGUGAAAUACGUAGAGAUUGGGAAGAACACCAGUGGCGAAGGCGGCUAUCUGGACGGUUACUGACGCUAAGACUCGAAAGCGUGGGGAGCAAACAGGAUUAGAUACCCUGGUAGUCCACGCCGUAAACGAUGGGUGCUAGACGUUGGCGAGCUUGCUCGUCAGUGUCGCAGCUAACGCGUUAAGCACCCCGCCUGGGGAGUACGGCCGCAAGGUUGAA
rnacentral:rRNA from 1 species